rnacentral:rRNA from 1 species
AAUCAACGCUGGCGGCGUGCCUAACACAUGCAAGUCGAACGCGAAAGUCCCGCAAGGGAUUAGUAGAGUGGCAAACGGGUGAGUAACACGUGGGUGACCUGCCUUCGAGUGGGGGAUAACGUCCCGAAAGGGACGCUAAUACCGCAUGACAUCCUGCCUUUGAAGAGGUGGAGCUUAAAGCCGGGGAUCGCAAGACCUGGCGCUUGAAGAGGGGCCCGCGCCUGAUUAGCUAGNGGUGAGGUAACGGCUCACCAAGGCAUCGAUCAGUAUCCGGCCUGAGAGGGCGGACGGACACACUGGGACUGAGACACGGCCCAGACUCCUACGGGAGGCAGCAGUGGGGAAUUGUUCGCAAUGGGCGCAAGCCUGACGACGCAACGCCGCGUGGAGGAUGAAGAUCUUCGGGUCGUAAACUCCUUUCGAUCGAGACGAACGGCUUUCGGUGAACAGCCCGGAGAGUGACGGUACCGAGAGAAGAAGCCCGGCUAACUCCGUGCCAGCCGCCGCC